UACGUAGGGGGCAAGCGUUGUCCGGAAUCAUUGGGCGUAAAGCGCGUGUAGGCGGCUUGGUAAGUCUGCUCUGAAAGCCCGGGGCUCAACCCCGGGAGGCGGGUGGAUACUGUCAAGCUCGAGUCCGGAAGAGGAGUGUGGAAUUCCUGGUGUAGCGGUGAAAUGCGCAGAUAUCGGUAGGAACACCAGUGGCGAAGGCGGUCUCCUGGGGCAUUCUUGACGCUGAGGCGCGAAAGCUGGGGGAGCAAACGGG
rnacentral:rRNA from 1 species